AGAGUUUGAUCCUGGCUCAAGAUGAACGCUGGCGGCGUGCCUAAUACAUGCAAGUCGAACGAAGAGUGUAGCAAUAUGCUCUUAGUGGCGAACGGGUGAGUAACACGUGGGUGACCUACCCCAAAGUGUGGAAUAACUCCUCGAAAGAGGUGCUAAUACCGCAUGUGGUCCUAGAGAUUAGAGGCUUAGGGACUAAAGACUUCGGUCGCUUUGGGAGGGGCCCGCGGCCCAUCAGCUAGUUGGUGAGGUAAUGGCUCACCAAGGCAGUGACGGGUAGGGGACUUGAGAGGGUGACCCCCCACACUGGAACUGAAACACGGUCCAGACACCUACGGGUGGCAGCAGUAGGGAAUAUUGGUCAAUGGGCGAAAGCCUGAACCAGCAACGCCGCGUGCGCGAUGAAGGCCUUCGGGUCGUAAAGCGCUUUUGGGAGGGAUGAAAAUGACAGUACCUCCCGAAUAAGGAUCGGCUAACUACGAGCCAGCAGCCGCGGUAAGACGUAGGAUCCAAGCGUUAUCCGGAAUUACUGGGCGUAAAGGGCGUGUAGGAGGUUGGGCAAGUCGGCCAUGAAAGCUCCCGGCUCAACUGGGAGAGGCUGGUCGAUACUGCCUGGCUAGAGGGCAGAGAGGGAGGUGGAUUUCCCGGUGUAGUGGUG
rnacentral:rRNA from 1 species